AGUAUUUUAUUGUAGAGAAAAAUUCAUAUAUUCACUUCAUAUAUAAAGUGUUUCUCUUCCUCUUCUUUGACCAGGAAGUGUCCGGUUUGUGAUCAUUCGUACAAUUGUCAUCAUUACACUGGUGGUUCCAUUGUUGCUUAUAACAAAAAUUGUGAUCAAGAAAAAAACAAAGGUUGAAUCUCAACACAACAAGACACAACAGAAUGCAGAACCUGAGGGAGUUUAUCAAACACUCCAGCCAACGACUGAGGAGCAAGUCUACAGCAGCCUCACAGUGAUGGAGCAGGACUCCUCACAGCCGUCACCACAUCCACUCACUCUCUAACUGCUGGAGUCUCACUCUAUGUGAUAAAAUGAUGAUCUGACGAACCCAACUGAUGAAUGCGUGCAAUGAACGUUAUGCUACCAAAGGAGAACAUUAAAUGGCCAUAUUGUGGGGAAUUAACUGUCUAUGGCUGCUGCAAACAAAAUAAUUUCCAUAUUGUGCUUUUUGUUCAAAUUGUGAGUUGUCAAUAAAAUGGUUUUCAUCUCUUUUAUGUGUAUUUGUACUGUACAUGUUUUCUAUUUUAUAAUACUGUGGUAUGUGUGUACUGUCUUUACUACUGUAGACUGGCUGGUUAUAUGUUGGGUGUCCAUGUUGGGUAACAGGUAGGAUUAGGCCUGUAGGGAUGUAGUGUUUUAAGGAGCGGUGUCCUCACACAGAAGGACACAGCUGGUGUGUCUGUGAGUCAGAGGGAGGAGUUUUGACCUAAUCGAGGGUAAAGAGGAAAAGGAAGUUAUCCUCUGCAGAGACAGUCGUGAACUUAGCCUCAUUCCUGUUCACUAGUGUUUGUGUGCGUUGUCAGUUUCACAAUGAUGAAAGUCUGUGUGUGGACCGUGUGUCUGUUUACUGCUCUGACUGUCGGGGUAAAGAGUCUAACACAAACAGGUUACGUUGGAAAAAAUGUAACAUUCCACUGCUCAGACUGGAAGGGUUUCAUUUGGAGUAAUGUGAAAUCUUACGUUAAGUACAUUUGUAACAACCCAUGUAAAGAAGACAAACAUGUGAUCAUGAAAGUAAAACCUGGAGAGACUAAACAUGAGAACAGAAUAUAUUUAUUCAACAACGGAGUAACUUUGUCUGUGACCUUCAUUAAUCUCCAGAAGUCAGACUCUAGGACAUAUUACUGUGGACUGGAUGAGAAUUUACGAGACUCAUUAAUAGAAGUGAACCUUAACGUUAGAGAUGCAUUGAUUCCUGGUCCACAGACAACAGUUAGAACAGUCAGUGUCUGGUCAAGCUCCACUGUGUCUUCAAACAGCAAAGAUAUUACUUCAGAUAUUUCACCAUUGUUCACCACACGUCAGUCAACAGCAGCUGCUGCAUCGGAAGCACAUAAAGAAGAAGGAAAUGGAACAGGAAGUGUCCUGUACUUGAUCAUUGGUUUCACUGUUGUAAUAACUACACUGGUUCUUCUAUUGUGUCUAAUGAUGAAGAUAAAGAAAGAGAGAAAGAAAAAGGUGUCUAAGUCUGGUUCACCAGAAGCCGUCGUACAACAGGAUGCCGACUAUGCUGAAAUCAGACAUGAAGACCACACUGAGAGGGCGUCUGCUGCUGACGUUUACCCAGAGACGCUCUAUGCAAAUUAUUCCAGCCAACAGGACACAGCACAGCAGGACAGGGCUUCACACGAUGCUUCUGCUUCUAGUCCCCACGUCAGACACACAGAUUCCCAGUUUGAAUGUCUUUACUCUGUCGCUCAACUUCCUGAAGAGCGGCCUGAGUGUGAAUCUGCAAUAAAUGACUCAAGAUGCACCAUCUAUAGCGUAGUUAAGCCAGCACAGAUAACAUGAGGACUACUAAUACUACAGAUGAAAAGUGCUACACAAACCUCUGGCACAGUCACACAUGAAGUCUAAUAGUAGGAGGAGAGCAGCCAGCGCAUGCUAGCAAAGUGUUUUCAACAUGUUGCUGUGUUCAGGGGUUAACAAGUCAUUUCAGCUUUUAUUUGUUAUUAUAAUAUAUUAUAUUUGUACGUACGUAAUAAUAUAAAAUAAAUACAUGCUGCAUUUUAUGAACA
ensembl:lncRNA